CCUACGCAAACUGCACUCGCUGGACCCGCGCCCCUGUCCUGUCUGCAACCGCAUGUACAGUAACUUGUCGAACCUGCGUCAGCACAUGCGCCUGAUCCACAACCCUCAGAGUGUCACAUGCCCCCUCUGUAACAAGCCAUUCAAGACCAAGCUCUACCUGAAGAGACACCUCGUCAGCUUCCACGAGCUCAGCGUGGCAGACAGGCAUCGUCAGGAAGAGAUCUACCAGCAGCAACAGCCGAAGACGCAACAACCGACCGGAGCGCAGACGACCCAUCUACAGAUUCAGACAGACAACGCUGUUAAGUCGUUCUCCGCGCCCCGAGUCACCCUGGACGAGGGCACAGCCACGGUUACUUUGGAAAAUAAAUCAAGAGUAUUCCAAGACGAUGCUUACGAGGUCAACCAGACCAAUGCUGAAUCAAAGCACUUUCAGAGCAGCAUGAUGCAGCAGUUCGACGCUGCAUACCACUAAUGCGCCUUAGUUUCUUCGGGCCAUUUGUGAUAAUUUUUUGGUUGAGUAGACUUAAUGCCAGUUAAUUCUGGCAACCAUAAACUCCAAGUGAAGUUUUAAAUAGUCUUUUGGAGAACGACCAAGACGUCGCGGAGAGAUUAACGACUCUUGCUGCGAUGGACAGCGCGUUAGACAAUUUUUAUCUGACUAUUUUUAGUAACAGUAACUGCUCAAUCAUUUGUAUUUUUCGUUACAAACGAGUAUGAAAUUCUUUUUUCUUGCCCAUAAGAUUGUAAAGACUCGCUUUAAUGUCCAGAUCCUUAAAUUACAAACAGAUUGCAACUGAAAUAGAAACACUAUAUGCUAUUGACGAUUCGCCGAAGUUACGUUCAAGCUGUCCACGCAGCAAUUUGUAAAAUGAAACAAACUCUUCGCAACGUCUUCUGAUAAUCGAUACGAAAUAAUAGUUCUUAAAGAACAACUCGCAAAAGGUGCCGUGCCUAUUCGUCGUAAGAAAAAGCGAGAAAUAUUCCUUAAACAGAAGAAGAAACACAAAAGAAAAAGAUGAAAGAAACCGCAAAUAACCGUCGCAAGUGGACACAGCCAUCCCACCUCGUACUGAUUAUUCCGCGAGUCAGGAUAACUUGUUGUUUUAUUUGAUGCUAUACAGUGUUAUACAGACUACAGAUAUUUACAACGAUAUUAUAUUCUUACAGAGGAUUAUAUUUACUUUAUUAAUUACGUCACACGACUGGGUGACACGCACAGAAACGCCCAGGAUGACGUACGAACAUAUUAUAAUAUAUUUUUCACCGCGUAGCAGUUUAACGGUGCAAUAGACAGCCAACCGAUUUUACAGCUCAAACAGAUUUACAGAGGAUUUAUUAUUGACAGUUAUCGAUGGGAAACCACCGUGAUGCAGCAGAUUGAAUUUAAUAUAUUAUAAGAAGGCCCGUGUCCGGGAUGGCUUUUCUUACGAAUUUCUUUAUAUAUACGCUCUAAUGUGAUAUUACAGAGCUCAAUUCAUCACUUUUCUCCAUAUUAAUGUUAGCGUAGUACAUUUAAGUAUAAUCCAUUUUUACUUAUCUCUUUACAGUAAAAUAUGAUAUUUCCGUCUUUGCUUUGAAUUUCAUUUGACAUUAACUAAGCUUCUUCUCGCCAUGAUAUUAAUUUUAAACAGUAUUAUUAUCUUAAUUUUAAAUGCAUUCGAAGUAUUAAGAUAUUGAUAUUAUUAUUUAGGUACACUUUCAUACGAGUUUGUAUUAACCUAGAAAUGGUAAAACCGUUUUAUAUAGCUCUUGAAGUAUUAUUUUACUUAACAAACUUACUUUCUCUACGUUAACUUGAAUAAUUGGUUCCAGUAAUUCUUUUCAUAUUUUAUAUAUGUUUAUAAUUGUUAAUUACCAUAGCACAGUUUGUAAGAUAUUUUAUUAGAUUAGAUUGUAUGGUGUAUAGUUUGCUACUAAGUGAUUCUUGCGUUAAAACUAUUUUUGAUAACUCUUCUAUGUAUACCGGAUAAGAAUAUAUUAAGUUACUGGUUCAUAAUGUAGGAUACGAGUGUGACAAAAGUUGCCGUCUACUUCAGAUGGUAUCAACUUUUGUGCACGUAUUAAGCUUUGUUCGGCAGUAUCUUGAAAUAUUUACAUUCUGUGAAGUAUUUGUUAUUUGACUUAAGAAUUGCUUGGUAUUGAGUUUUCGUAAAACUUGCAGAGCAUUCUAUAUGUUUAAAGAGAAGAGAAAGAGAUAAAGCCAUCUCAGACACUGCCGACCUCCAUAGCCAUAGUACCACACAGUACAACUCAGGAUCUUUUAUAUUAUAUUUUACAGAUGACAAUAGUUCCGUGAGCGCGAUCUUCUCGACAAAUUUUUUGCUACGAACUUCACGUCAGCGUCUACAAUCUUCAAUAAUCCAAUAAUUAUUCAUAUCACUAUUCGUUCAAUAGCGAUAUCAUAUUUUAUUUAAGUGUAAACCAUGUCUACGUUAAUUCUGUUCCUUUGAAUACAAUAGGAAUAGAAUACUUUGUAUACUUCAUCCGUCUUCGGUUUUUUUCGUAAAUAUUGUACAUAUUUAAUCUUAACAGGACACUAUUUUUUAAUUUUACAAUAGCGUUCGAUAAAUAAUAGAACGAUUAAUCGUAAGGAGUUGUUGGGAUAAUUAUGAAAUUGUUGAAGAUUCGCUGACGGACUCCGAGCACAAGAAAAGCUGAAACGUUUCUCGAGUCGAUCGCGCCGUUCACACAGGCUCCUUACCUCACGAUUUACAAUCAAAUCACAGAUGCAGCUAUAUAUUAUUAUAAUAAGUAUAUUUACAUACCGUUUUACAAUAGUGCCGGGGUCGCAACGACUGCGACCAAUGAAUUUUUUAAAACAAACAUGUCAAACGCAUUAACUAACCACGAAAGAGAUGGGAAAACAAACUAAUUCCAAUAUUUUUCGUCUCCUAUACGUGGACGAAAUUUCAUUUUCUUAUUGUUACGCACUUUUUCCGAACGUUUUUCUAUUCGGUUUCUAUUUUAACGCGUGGAACAGAGAAAGAGAGAGCUUCGUGCCCAGCGCAUAGUUUUUACUGAUUCUAAGAUUAGAAUAUAAAUGUUGCAUAUCAUGUUAUUAAGAUUGUUGUACAGGCAGCCUGUUACAAACCUCGGUCUACGGUUCCUUUCACCCUCUUAUUCUAUUUCAAAUUUAUUUGUUCAUUUCAACGAGUAAUGAUGAUAUUUUCAUUGAUCUCUAUAUUAGAUUAUUUAUCAUAUCUUUUUAUUAACGAAUAUUGAUGCUUUACAUGUUAUUGGUAUUGAUUGUAUUUUUGGCUUGUUUAAUAUUACUAUAAUUCGAUGUAUUACUAUGGUUUUCUCAGAAUUGUUAACGAUUCGUUUUGAACUAAUUAUUAUAAUUGCACGAUAGUCCUUCGGUUUGAUAAGUACUGAUUAAUUGAUUAUUUUGAAGCUCUUGCUUGAUUGGUUCCAUAGACCGAACACCAUGUUCAUAUACAUAUGUAUAUCACACAUAUACAGCAUACAUAGAUUCAAAUCAGCGAGCCACAAUGAUAUAGUACAUACAUAGAACGAGUAAAGCAAAGAAUGAUUUGCAAUAGAAGGAAACGAAACGAAGCAGACAAUUACAGGGAAAUCAUUUUUCUAACUCGCAAUCCUUCGCUGGGCAUUAAAAGUGAUAUAACCGAUCAGCCGAUUAGUUGAUUGAUUGAUUGAAUGAUUAAUUAAUUGAUUGAUUGAUACAUUCCAACAGAUAAUGCAGUUUUUCCAUUUUUCCAACCGAAACCGGUGAAUAAUCAACCAAUUAAACCAUAAAAAGAAAAUGAUACGAAAAUUCAAACUCUGGAGAAAGCACCUUUUUCACAGGAGUUUUUGUUCUCCACUUUUUUAUUUAAACGGUGGGCGAUUUGAAAAUUGGAAAGUUAAAAUGCUUGUUCGAGUUUAAGGGACGAAUACGAGAUCAUUAGAAUUGAAAAAGAAUUUAGAGAAAUGCUAAACAGGAGUCUAAAGUAUUUUUGAAGUCGAAUUAAUCGAGGAACGUGAAAUUCGAGAAAUCCGAAAACUUCCCAUCAACGGAACGUUCUAAAAGUUUAAGAAUAUUUAAAGCUGUAAACUUUCUAAUUUUCGAUUCAACUAUAUUUUUCCCUUAUCGCAGACACAAAAGACGUUAUGAAUGAACAUUCGACGAGUAGCUACGGAUAUUAACAUUCCCGUUUUUCAUUAAUCGAUUCGUUUCACUCAUUAUUUAUUUGUAGGAUUAUUUAUUCAGAACUUAACGACUUAGAAUACUUGUAAAUUGCAUUGAGACAGAAUUUUCGAUGAAACUCUUUUUAAGUUUCUUUUCCGUUGUCCAACCUUUCUCUCUCUAUUUCCAAGGAAAGUGCAUUUGCUUAGUUAUUGUAUAUAUUGUAAAUUACAGUGAUCCGUGUACUCAAGAGCUAGUAAUUAACCAUAGGAUUAGUCGUAGGAUUAAGAAGGAUAAUUGGUUUCUCGUUCGGAACAUAAUAGACUUUCCAUUGAAAAAAAAAUGGAAUUUAAUUACUUUGAUACUUUUUAAGAACAAAAUCUAGUCAGAUAAAAGUUUUAUGAAAUUUUUUUUUCGUAUUGAAGCGAAAACUUGUUAUUUAUUGAUAAAAGAAAAAUCUAUUAAGGUCUUAAAUUUCAUAAAUUAGUACCACGUCUUUGCCCACUAUCGUUUGCCCAUUUGUAGCGAAAUGGGAGGGUAGUAUUUUGAGAGACUAUGAACAAAUAAUCGAAAUUUUGUUUGAAAUACAAAUACAGUUGUAUUUGAUAAGAUAAAUUGCAAAGCCAAAGGGAGUAAGAAAAUUGUGAAAUUCGACAAAGAACGUGAUACUAAGAACAAAAUUUUUCAAUACAGGAAUCAAGCGUUCACCUGUAAUGAAUUUCGUAGAAAAGUAAGAAAAUUAUGUUUCACUGAAAUUACGACCGUAGAACUUGUCGAUCAUAUUACAAAUUAAUCUCGUAUAUCUUACUUAGUUGCGUUAAACCCUUUCUACGCGCACCCCAUCCCGGCUUUGCUGUUUCUAUCGCUAUUUUCUUCCUCCUCAUUCACUCUACAUGUAUAUCGUCUAUCGUUCUUAUAUCUAACGUAAGGGAUUUUCUACUCGAUAGCGUACUCGAACGACCAGUAUUUCACUAUAUUUUUUAAUUAGUGAUUUUUAUAACUGUAAAGGUGAAGUAGUCGACAGUGCAACCUCUUGAGCGUAAGUGUAGUUAGAGCAUCAGUAUUAAACGAGAAAACGCAUAGGAAUGUAUACAGUUUUCGUAGAAUUUUGUAUGAUUAUCUAUUUUUUUGUGUAACUUCAAAAACAAUUUGGGAAAUUACCAAAGUAAGCAUGAACUGUUAGAUCAGCAUCAUCAUCAAGCUUUUAGGUAUUGCUAAUUACUGUGAAUUAAUUUUUAAAAUUCAAUAUUUCUAGGAAGCUUUUAAUUUAAAUCGCAUCUUGUAUCAAUAAUUUUAUUGAAUGUUUUAACGAAUGAUGUCGUUCCAAGUGACGUAAUGAAAAAAUAAUUUCACGUAGUGAAGCUUUUGUAUACCAUGUAGGAUAAAUUUUGAUAUUUGCAGGAAAUGUUUGAUUACGGAAGUAUUUGUUUUAUUAUUCAUAAAAGCAUAUUUCUGCUUCAAAAAUGUUUAAUAAACAAUUCUCGUUGCGACGAUUUGAUUUCUAAUGUGUCACAGUUUCUGUUUAUUCAAAUGCGUUUAAUCUGGGUAUUAACUAAAAAAACUAAAUAUGAAACAUUUUACUAUGAAGUAAAACACUACUAAAUAAGAUACCUAUCUACGUAUUAAUAUUUAUCUAAAAGUAACGUAAACUAUCUCGGCAAUAGUCGUUGAGCUGUAAAUUAUUGCUUUAUGCGUUGAAUAAGACUCCGGUUGUGAAUUUCAGUGAAAAUGAAUUUACCGAACGAGAAUCCAAAGUGAUACAUGAACGCAAACGUUUUUUGCGGAUACUACGUUAAGAAGUUUUGAAAAUGAAAACGUCUCUUCAAUUUCAGUCAUUUUUAUAACCAUGCCCCAAUUCUUUAGACCUUUUGGCAAUGAAAAGAGAACCGAUAUUGGAGUUCCCAUUGGCUGAAUUGAAGUUUAACCAUUUUUAUGCGACAGUGAAAAUAAUAAUAAAAUAUGUACGUCAUAUUUUGAACAUUGUUUAUACGACAAUGUGCGACAAUUAUGCUUUAAUAUCUUUACAAACCGUGGUUUUAAGCCUUUUCAGAAUUUCCUUAGAAUAGUCAUAAAUACUAACUGAAGCUAAACAUUAUUGCAAUAAAUAGAGGUUACACAUCUUCAGAUUUUUUUGCAAAGAAGCAAACCGGGAUUUGAAAGUUUUUGGAUAUAGAAAAGGAUUGAAACUUGAUGAGAAUUUUGGUAUCUCGACAAUUUAGGAAAACAUUUUAAAACGAAAAAUUAUAAAUAAAUGAAAAUAUUAAAUUAAGAUCGAAGAUAAGAUAAAAUUGUGAAGUUCAAAAGACUACGUUCGAUGUUCUUCGAGUUUCUGCAAGUGUGAAUAAUUUUAUAGACAAAAGUGUCUUGCAGAAACGUUGAGAACAUUUGCAAAGAAGCUGAAGAAUGUUAGGAUUGCAAUUUCCUUGCAAGCACAUGUUCAGAGGUAAACGCUGAAUAUUAAACCUUUAAGUAUUUAACAAUUUUGUGAGAGUUAUUGCAAGUAUCGUGAAUACGGAUAUUUGCAAGAGAUUAUACAUACUAGAUCCAAACAAUUUUUACUGAAAAAUCGUAAAAAUUAGAUUUUAGAAUUUGUACGAAAAAAUUCGAAUAUCAAAUAGAUUUAUAGGUUUUUUGCAAAAUAAAAAAAAAAGAAAUCAGUUUAGGCAUCGUUUAUCAUGCGAAUGAAAUAUCGAAACAAUUAAGCUUCCAUGAAAAUUCGAGAGUGAAAUUAAAUGGUGAAAGUUAAAACGUUUGAGGAGCGUGGCUCGACGUAGAAAUAUUUUUCAAAACAUUGAAACGGAUCUUUUGCGAAAAACCUAUGAAACAAAUUUGUUCCGAUAGUUAUAAACGGAAUAAGCAAUUAAGCGUUUAAAUUCGUAUUGAAAUCACUUUUAAAAUUUCUACGAAGAAUGAAUGGUAUCGACAAGAAGAUAAAAGGAAUCGGAAUUGAAAAUUUUCAUGUAUUUUCUCAUUCAGAAUAAACAGUUUUUGCAUGUAUAUAGGAGGAAAACAUCUCACGUGGAUUUCCUUCGAGUCUUUUCGCUUCUGAUGUAGAAAAUUCUCAUGCUUUAAUCUAAGUGAAUUUAUUUAUUAGGACCUAUCAUUAUAAACUGUCCUGAGUGACAUAGCAUAGGCAGUAGGCAUACGAAAUAAGAAUAAUUCAUAACUAUUCAAAUGAAUGACUGAAUAAUCGAUUUCAUUUAUUUCCCCACUAUACAGAUAUUAAUGUGAAUGACAAAUGGAUAUAAAAUUUUGUACUUAGGAGUAUACCUGGCCAGAUAAUUGCAUUGUCUUUUAUUUUUAGCGACAUUAAAAUGUGAUAAGUAGUUUUUUAUUCAACAGUCGAAUAUUUUUUUAUUAAUAUUGACGUGAAUUACGUUUUGUAUUUGUAAUUGACAUUAAACAAAUUUAAUCCAUUUAUUUUAGAAUAUUGAAAUAUAUUCGCAUUUCAGUUUAUUAAGUAAUUUUUUAUACAGUGAAACGUGCAAUUAUUUGUACAGACUAUACUUCGCCAUGAAGAAAACGUAUAAGACCCCAGUGUGAAUCCUUUGCAGUUGAAUGUAAAACCUCGUUUAUCGUUGCCAGACGAAAAUUAUGUAUUUCAUUGCGUUAUUUUAGGAGUACAAGUUAUAUAAAAUGUUACGUUCACGAACGGUGAAACAAUGACGAAAAUGAUAUUACGUUUCACCAUUGUACACAAUAAAUAAUUAAACGAGUAUAAUGAGUUCAAAAAGACAGAACAAAAGGAGAUACGUAAUCAUCAAGAUUAAUUAUUUAUUGUUAAGAUCGACGAUUGCGAAUUCAGUUGAAUUAUUUAGACUGCAAAUGAUUUAAAAAUUCAUCGACAAAGUUCCUUUUUCCAAUUGUCUAUAAAAUCGCGUAGGUUACAAAUUAAUUGUUUAUUUGAUUCCAUUUAUUGGCAGAGUAAGAGAAUUAGAUUGCGAUAUGCUUAACCAAUUAUUUCCAUUAAUUAAGCGUUGAUUUUCCCGUUCGGUUGAUGUUUGUUCGGAACGUGUUUCAAGCGAUUGCGAAUGAUUUUUGUAAAUUUUUGUUAUAUGCGCAAUAACGAAACGUUCGAGUAUUUUGUUAUUUUGAGUUCCUAUUUUAUUUAAUUGUUCGGUCUGCUCUUCGUUAAAUGUUAGAAAGUUAGAAACACAGACGGUCAUCUUUAUCAUUUUUAUACGUAUAUGUUUAUCUAUGUAAACGACGUGAAAUUACAUGCGUCGAGCAAGUGAAAAUAUUUAAACAAGUCCAGUUACGUCAUUUUCAUUUACCAAUCGAGCGUCGCCAAUCUCUUAACAUUAAUUCAUAUUCAUAUAUUUAUAAUAAUUUACCUUCUCUAGAUGAACUUGUUGGAUGAUUCUUUUCUAACAAUCUGUAACAAACAAUUUUCUAUAAAAUUUUCUUACUAAAAAACAUAUUAAUUAUUUUCAUAUUUGUGUUAACAUAUGAAUCCACUUUUCUAUAAGGUUUAAUUAAAAAUGAAUUUCAAAUAAAUUGGUUCUGCACGUGUCUAAAGGUAAAACCAUGAAAUGAUGUAUUGUACAACGCAUAUAUUCAUAAAGCAUCAUCCAACAGUUAAUUAAAACGCAAUUAAGCUAUUAAUAAAAUGAAUUAAUUACUAUACGUGUGUAUCAGUACCGUGUGCUUCGAUUUUCGUUCGGAUCCCCAAUUUUUCAACAAGUUCAAACCCCCUUUUCACGAAGUAUACAUAUUAACAAGACUUAGGGAAACAGUUUCCUCGACGGGGAGGCAAGCUUGUUUCAGGAAAAAUAAACGAUAAAUAUUUAAUAUAGGUAACUACGAAAAUUAGAAAAUCGAUACACGCGCGCCCGUGCGAUUACAAGCAUUUAUUUACAACAAUUUUUUCGAUGCUCCCUCAACUUGGCCACGUGUAUCGGCAUUCUGAUCUAUCACUAAUUGUAUGCGAACUUUUAAUUGUCAGCGCGAAGGUAUCAGUGAAUAAAGAUAUUCAGAUUUGUACGUCAG